rnacentral:rRNA from 1 species
CGUAGGGACCAAGCGUUGUUCGGAUUUACUGGGCGUAAAGGGCGCGUAGGCGGCAAUUCAAGUCAGUUGUGAAAUCUCCGAGCUUAACUCGGAACGGUCAACUGAUACUGUUUUGCUAGAGUACAGAAAGGGCAAUCGGAAUUCUUGGUGUAGCGGUGAAAUGCGUAGAUAUCAAGAGGAACACCUGAGGCGAAGGCGGGUUGCUAGGCUGAUACUGACGCUGAGGCGCGAAAGCUAGGGUAGCAAACGGGAUUAGAUACCCCGGUAGUCCUAGCCCUAAACGAUGAAUACUUGGUGUCUGGAGUUUUAAUUCUCUGGGUGCCGUCGCUAACGUUUUAAGUAUUCCGCCUGGGGAGUACGCACGCAAGUGUG